CUAGCUACAGGCUUAACACAUGCAAGUCGAGGGGCAUCAGGAAGAAAGCUUGCUUUCUUUGCUGGCGACCGGCGCACGGGUGAGUAACACGUAUCCAACCUGCCCUUUACUCGGGGAUAGCCUUUCGAAAGAAAGAUUAAUACCCGAUAGCAUAAUGAUUCCGCAUGGUUUCAUUAUUAAAGGAUUCCGGUAAAGGAUGGGGAUGCGUUCCAUUAGGUUGUUGGUGAGGUAACGGCCCACCAAGCCUUCGAUGGAUAGGGGUUCUGAGAGGAAGGUCCCCCACAUUGGAACUGAGACACGGUCCAAACUCCUACGGGAGGCAGCAGUGAGGAAUAUUGGUCAAUGGGCGCUAGCCUGAACCAGCCAAGUAGCGUGAAGGAUGAAGGCUCUAUGGGUCGUAAACUUCUUUUAUAUAAGAAUAAAGUGCAGUAUGUAUACUGUUUUGUAUGUAUUAUAUGAAUAAGGAUCGGCUAACUCCGUGCCAGCAGCCGCGGUAAUACGGAGGAUCCGAGCGUUAUCCGGAUUUAUUGGGUUUAAAGGGAGCGUAGGUGGACUGGUAAGUCAGUUGUGAAAGUUUGCGGCUCAACCGUAAAAUUGCAGUUGAUACUGUCAGUCUUGAGUACAGUAGAGGUGGGCGGAAUUCGUGGUGUAGCGGUGAAAUGCUUAGAUAUCACGAAGAACUCCGGUUGCGAAGGCAGCUCACUGGACUGCAACUGACACUGAUGCUCGAAAGUGUGGGUAUCAAACAGGAUUAGAUACCCUGGUAGUCCACACAGUAAACGAUGAAUACUCGCUGUUUGCGAUAUACAGUAAGCGGCCAAGCGAAAGCAUUAAGUAUUCCACCUGGGGAGUACGCCGGCAACGGUGAAACUCAAAGGAAUUGACGGGGGCCCGCACAAGCGGAGGAACAUGUGGUUUAAUUCGAUGAUACGCGAGGAACCUUACCCGGGCUUAAAUUGCAGUGGAAUGAUGUGGAAACAUGUCAGUGAGCAAUCACCGCUGUGAAGGUGCUGCAUGGUUGUCGUCAGCUCGUGCCGUGAGGUGUCGGCUUAAGUGCCAUAACGAGCGCAACCCUUAUCUUUAGUUACUAACAGGUUAUGCUGAGGACUCUAGAGAGACUGCCGUCGUAAGAUGUGAGGAAGGUGGGGAUGACGUCAAAUCAGCACGGCCCUUACGUCCGGGGCUACACACGUGUUACAAUGGGGGGUACAGAAGGCAGCUAGCGGGUGACCGUAUGCUAAUCCCAAAAUCCUCUCUCAGUUCGGAUCGAAGUCUGCAACCCGACUUCGUGAAGCUGGAUUCGCUAGUAAUCGCGCAUCAGCCACGGCGCGGUGAAUACGUUCCCGGGCCUUGUACACACCGCCCGUCAAGCCAUGGGAGCCGGGGGUACCUGAAGUACGUAACCGCAAGGAUCGUCCUAGGGUAAAACUGGUGACUG
rnacentral:rRNA from 1 species